GCCUGAGCCGUGGCGCGCGGGUGGCCGAAAGGCGAAAGUGAGAUUUCAAGGGCCGGGUCUGGGGCCCCGCGGGCGCGCAGUGCUUCUUCGUGUGGGGAGUACGGGGAGGCUGGAGAGAAGCCGGCCCCGGGCAGUGUGAGGUGCGGAAGCGCGGUCCAGACACUUUGCUGACGGGAGGCCGGUCCGCCAGAUCCGGGAGGUGGGGCCUCGUUCUGGACUGCUGGUCUGGCUCUGUCCCAGGCUGUGGAGUGCAGUGGCGCGAUCUCGGCACACUGCAAGCUCCGCCUCCCAGGUUCACGCCGUUCUCCUGCCUCAGCCUCCCGAGUAGCUGGGACUACAGGCGCCUGCCACCACGCUGGGCUAAUCUUUUUGUAUUUUUAGUAGAGACGGGGUUUCACCGUGUUCACCAGGAUGGUCUCAAUCUCCUGACCUCGUGAUCUGCCCGCCUCGGCCUCCCAAAGUUUGCUAAGAAUUUUUACAUGUAUUUUUAUGACACAUACUGGUCUGUAGUUGUCUUUUCUUGUAAUGUCAUUGUCUGGUUUUGGUAUCAAGUAAUGCUGCCCUCACAGAAUGAAUUAGAAAAUAUUCCCUUAUCAAUUUUCUGGAAGAGUUUUUGUAGAAUUGGUGUUAUUUUCUGCUUAAAUGUUUGAUAGAAUUUACCAAUGAAGCCAUAUGGACCCAGUGUUUUCUUUGUGGGAAGGUUUGUAAGUACAAAUUCAAUUUCUUUAAUAGAUGUAGAGUUAUUUAUGUUAUCUAUUUGUUCUUGAAUGAGUUUUGGUAGUUUGUAUCUUUCAAAUAAUUUGUCCAUUUUAUGUUCCUUAUCUCUGGUAAUAUUAUUUGCUCUGAAAUCUAUUUUGUCUGCUUUCUUUUGAUUAGUAUUAGGAUGGUAUAUUUUUUUUCUUCCCUUAAUUUUUAAGCUGUAUGUUAAGCAUGGUUGAAUCUUGCAUUCUUAUCCAAUCUUAAUAAUCUCUGGUUUUUAAAUGAGAGAGUUUAGACUAUUUACAUCUAAUUUAAUUAUUGAUAAUUUUGGUUCUAUUUGUAUUGUUUGUUCCAUCUUUUCUUCUUCCCCCUUCCCUUUUUUGCCUUCUUUUAGAAAAACUGUGUAAUAUUUAUUCCAUUUUAUCACCCUUGUUGGCUUACUAGUUAUAAUUCUUUUUAAUUCACAAUAACGAUAUAUAAAGUUUUAUUAGCUAUAAUUCUUUAUAAUUCACAGUAAUAGGACAUAACGUUUAAGUUAUUGAUUUAGGGUUUAUAUUAUACAUAUUUGUUAUGUUCUACCUUCAAGUGGUAUUACAUUACUUAACAUAUACUGCAAGAACCUUAAAAUAGUACAAUUCUAUUUUCCCCUCCUGACCUUUGUACUAUUUUGCCUUACAUUUUACUUCUAUAUAUUUUAUAAACCACAUAGUACAGUGGCCCCCAACCUUUUUGGCAUCAGGGACCAGUUUUGUGGAAGGCAGUUUUUCCACAGACCAUUGUGGGGUGGAUGGUUUUGAGAUGAAACUGUUCCAUCUCAGAUCAUCAAGCAUUAGAUUCUCAUAAGGAGUGCACAACCUGGAUCCCUUGCAUGUGCAAUUCACAAUACCAUUUGUGCUCCUAUGAGAAUCUGAUGCCUGCCGCUCCUGAUCUGACAGGAGGCAGAGUUCAGGCAGUAAUGCUCGAUCGCCCACCACUCACCUCCAGUACUGAUCUGCAGCCUGGGUGUUGGGGACCCCUGCCAUAGUACAUUAUCAUUAUAUUUGUUGUUUCUUUCAAGAGUCAGUUAUCUUUUAAAGACAUUUAAAUAAUAAAAAAUGUAUUUAUAUUUGUC